GAACACACAUAACUUUGGUAUCUGUGAUAUCUGUACUUUCAUCAACUAAAACUGAAAAUUUACUAUCGUUUAAAAAUCUAAUUCAUUUUUUCAUUUCCCAUUUAGCUAUGAUUUCUUUAACAAUUUUGGUACAUUUAGAUUGGGCCAGUGAAAGAUCUUGAGCAAUUUUUGAAUCUAUAAAAAUAUUUUUUUAGCAAAGAUAUUAAAUGGUCCGCGGUAUAAAAAGCAAUAUUAUAUUCAGCGUAAAACGCUGAUAAUUAUAUUUCUACGCAUUUGACUUGAUCUUUACGUUUUAAAUUACUUUUUUUUUGAGAGGGGAAAAUACCGUUGUUGGACAGCCAUAACUCGGGGACGGUGCGAAAGUGUGAAACGCAGCAACUUUAGCAGCCCGCUAACAUUUCCUGCCUACGUUUAUCACUACACGGCACUGUAUGAACUGCCUCGACCGUUGCGCAUACGCGAAAAAGCGACCCAUCUAGCAACACUGCUGUAAGUGGUGUAGUUUCUGUCCGCUAUCACGUAAUUAUUCCAUUUGUUGUGUACGUUGAUUUCAGAUCCGGUGACGCGACGGGUAAUUGCGUCUGGCGCCCAACUUAUCGUAAUUUAGCGAAAAUUUGUGUCGGUACAGAUUCCGCUCGUGUGCGCGUUUCGUAUAACUUUUUUUUCUGUUUGAUCACGUAUUUCGUCUCCGCUCUCAGGCGAGCCAAGAAAAUACGUAAUAGUAUAAUGGGUAAUUUUUUUGCAUUGCUUUGUGGCCAUGACGUAAUUUCUUUAUUGUUCUGUGUAUGUAUGGCCGCUGUUACCAGUUGUUACAAGAAGGGGUGGCGUGCCCGUUGUUAUUACAACUAUUAUUGGAGAUUAAAGAUUUGAAAAUAUUUUAUUGAGGUGCUGGAUGAUUGAGUGUAUAUUUUUGAAUGCUUUUGGCUGGCGUGUUUUGAGCGUGCGUAGGAUUGAAGGUUUGAAAGAAAGUAUCUGUAUUUGCUGUAUGUAUUUUAGGUGUAUUUAUCAGAUUAUAUGAAAGAAGAUACAUUUAAUGUGUACGUUUGUGUGAAUUUAAUUGUAAAUAAAUGCGCGUGCGCUUGUGAAUUUAUAUAAAUGAGUGUGUUCGUACUAGUGCAAAUGAUUUAUAUAAUUUCCCGCUGAGUAUUUCUUAAUAUUAUAAGUUACAAUCAUGUUGCUUAUAAUACGCAGUUUUUCUUUUGCUGUCGAAGAUGGCUCCCCCUCUGUUCAUAUUCUUUCGCAGAAUUUAUUUUUAUAUGAAAUAUUUUUAGAAAGUUUUGCUACGAAAAUAAAGCUUGACUUUUGAUU